UUUUGAUUGGAGUACAGUUGCUUUACAAUAUUGGGUUAGUUUCGACUGUACAGCAAAAGGAAUCAGCCAUAGAUAUACACAUAUCCCCUCCCUUUGGGACUUCCUUCCCAGUGGGGUCACCACAGAACUUUAUUUAAGUAGAGUUCCCUGUACUAUACGGCAUGUUCUCAGUAGUCACAAAUCUCAGUAUCUUAAUGCAAUACAGAUUUUUCUCACACACACAUUCCAUUGUAAGUUGUGUGAUCCUCUGGACGGGAAUCAAGGCUGCUUCUGUCUUGAGGCGUCGUGUUCAAUACGCCCCAGCUUCUGAGCGACUGUGGCAGAGAAACAAGAACGCAGAACGUCACACCUGCUUCUAAACGCUUUGGAUUGGAAGAGACGCGGAAGGCUCCUGCUCACACGCCAUUGGCUGGUUCUGGUCACGUGGGCCCUGCUUGGGCGCAGGGGAGGCUGGGAGAUGCAGCCUUGACUGGGGCUCAGAGGAGGAAACGGCUUGGUGAGCGGGUGGCCUUGACUCUCCUGCAGGGAGUUACGUGGCCAGAGCCCAGAACGAGAAGCUCGCAUCACGGAGCAGUCUCUAGGAAAUACCGGGGUGGCAGAAAUCACAUGUGGAAAAUCCUUGAUUUCUCUGAACUCAUUGCUCAUCUGAAAAAUGAAGGCUCUCAUCAGGGGAUAUAGCUGCUGAUUCCCAGGACGUGACUCUUCAGGCCAUUUUCUGCCAAACCG
rnacentral:lncRNA from 1 species